CGGCAAACCCGUUGUGAGGCGGGGACGCAAAGCCAUGGAACUUUAAUACAAAGUCAGCCAGGUUGC
rnacentral:ncRNA from 1 species